UUCCUAUCUUGUUUAGCUUCACUUUUCCAAGUGUGGUCAAAAAGUUUCUAUGCACUCUUCACCAAUUCUGUUCUUAUAGGCUUUGAUAGUACCUAUAAUGUCACCUUGUUAUUAAGCAUCUUCAUUGACCUAAAUAUUUCAAUAAGAUAAUAUUACUCUCUAGAAAAAAUAUAAAAAAUAAAAUACUUAACUAACUUCUUUAGACUCUCGAGUCCAUCUAAGCACUAGUAGUGUUAAGUAUUAGCCUUGAGUCAUGGUAUAACCAUAAAGCACAAUGCAUACGUGUGCCAUAUUUCUUCAUCAACUAUCACAUCAUACAUAGCGCCAUAUUCAUUACUUUGAAGGGAUGUAUUGUCACUUUGGGCUUGUCACUUCUUACAAUGCCAAAUAACUAGACUAAUGGUACUUAAGUAGAUUGUCACAAAGAGACAUCUCUUGUCUCUUCUAUCAACUCCUAAUUUAGUUAGGCUACUCACACUUAAAACCUCUAGGGAAUAUCAUGAAUAUCAGUCAAACACUCAAGACUCAUUGGUACUAAAGUAUUUCUUAGCUCAUCCCACAUCUCUGUACAAGGUUUACCUCAAGACAAGGAAGGUAGUCUACUUUGCUAUUUAUUGGCCA
rnacentral:lncRNA from 1 species